rnacentral:rRNA from 1 species
UACGGGGGGGGCAAGCGUUGUUCGGAAUUACUGGGCGUAAAGGGUUUGUAGGUGGCCCGCUAAGUCACACGUGAAAUCCCUCAGCUUAACUGGGGAACUGCGUGUGAGACUGGCAGGCUUGAAUCCGGGAGAGGGAUGCGGAAUUCCAGGUGUAGCGGUGAAAUGCGUAGAUAUCUGGAGGAACACCGGUGGCGAAGGCGGCAUCCUGGACCGGCAUUGACGCUGAGGCGCGAAAGCCAGGGGAGCAAACGGG